UGCAAGUCGAACGCGAAAGUUCCCUUCGGGGAAUAAGUAGAGUGGCGCACGGGUGAGUAACACGUAGGUAAUCUACCUUCGGGUGGGGAAUAACCCAGGGAAACUUGGGCUAACACCGCAUAAUGCAGCGGCACCACAUGGUGACAGUUGUUAAAGCGGGGGAUUUCCGGACCUCGCGCCUGAAGAGGAACCUGCGGCGGAUUAGCUAGUUGGUGAGGUAACGGCUCACCAAGGUAACGAUCCGUAGCCGGCCUGAGAGGGCGGUCGGCCACACUGACACUGACAUACGGGUCAGACUCCUACGGGAGGCAGCAGUCGGGAAUUUUGGGCAAUGGGCGAAAGCCUGACCCAGCAACGCCGCGUGAAGGAUGAAAUCCCUCGGGAUGUAAACUUCGCAAGAAUGGGAAGAAUUAGCGAGCGCUAAUACCGCUCGUGAUGACGGUACCAUUUGUAAGCUCCGGCUAACUCCGUGCCAGCAGCCGCGGUAAUACGGGGGGAGCAAGCGUUGUUCGGAUUUACUGGGCGUAAAGGGCGCGUAGGCGGCCAGCGCAAGUCAGUUGUGAAAUCUCCGGGCUUAACUCGGAAAGGUCAACUGAUACUGCGCGGCUAGAGUGCGGAAGGGGCAACUGGAAUUCUCGGUGUAGCGGUGAAAUGCGUAGAUAUCGAGAGGAACACCUGCGGCGAAGGCGGGUUGCUGGGCCGACACUGACGCUGAGGCGCGAAAGCCAGGGGAGCGAACGGGAUUAGAUACCCCGGUAGUCCU
rnacentral:rRNA from 1 species